CCUACGGGGGGCUGCAGUGGGGCAUAUUGGACAAUGGGGGGAACCCUGAUCCAGCCAUGCCGCGUGUGUGAAGAAGGCCCUCGGGUUGUAAAGCACUUUCAGUGAGGAAGAACGCCUGGUGGUUAAUACCCAUCAGGAAAGACAUCACUCACAGAAGAAGCACCGGCUAACUCCGUGCCAGCAGCCGCGGUAAUACGGAGGGUGCGAGCGUUAAUCGGAAUUACUGGGCGUAAAGCGCGCGUAGGUGGCUUGAUAAGCCGGUUGUGAAAGCCCCGGGCUCAACCUGGGAACGGCAUCCGGAACUGUCAAGCUAGAGUGCAGGAGAGGAAGGUAGAAUUCCCGGUGUAGCGGUGAAAUGCGUAGAGAUCGGGAGGAAUACCAGUGGCGAAGGCGGCCUUCUGGACUGACACUGACACUGAGGUGCGAAAGCGUGGGUAGCAAACAGGAUUAGAUACCCUUGUAGUC
rnacentral:rRNA from 1 species